rnacentral:rRNA from 1 species
CCCUUAGAUGUUCUGGGCCGCACGCGCGCUUCACUGAUGCAUUCAACAAGCCUAGCCUUGACCGAGAGGUCCGGGUAAUCUUUGAAACUGCAUCGUGAUGGGGCUAGAUUAUUGCAAUUAUUAAUCUUCAACGAGGAAUGCCUAGUAAGCGUGAUUCAUCAAAUCGCGUUGAUUACGUCCCUGCCCUUUGUACACACCGCCCGUCGCUCCUACCGAUUGAAUGUGUUGGUGAGGAGCUCGGAUUGGCAGCAGUUGGUGGUUCGCCACCGGCUAUUGCUGAGAAGUCCUCCAAACCGCCCCAUUUAGAGGAAGGAGAAGUCGUAACA